rnacentral:rRNA from 1 species
AUGCCCUACAUACCAGCUGACGUCACAAACCUAAAGGCAAAGUACCGUAGAGAGAGCAAGUUGGCUGACAUAGAGGCCACAAUGGCCUACUUUGAUGAGAAAGCGAAGGAAGAUCCAGAUUUAUUCUACAGGAUAAGGUUGGACGAUGAGAACCGGGUCAGGAACAUUUAUUGGGUGGAUGGUGCUGCAAGGAGAGCCUACAAACAUUUCCGAGAUUGCAUUUCAUUCGACGCGACGUAUCUAACUAAUAUGUACAAGAUGCCAUGCGCUCCAUUCAUAGGAAUAAAUAACCACAAUCAGUCAUUGUAGUUUGGCUGCGGGCUCGUUCGGAACAAAGACACAGAUGGGUACGCUUGGCUAUUCAAGACCUUCUUGGAGUGCAUGGAUGGACUUGCUCCGAUGAACAUAAUAACAGACCAGGAUUUUAGCAUGCGUGCAGGCAUAGAGGAGGUCUUUCUGUUGGCAGUGCACAUGAACUGCAGGUGGCACAUUAUAAAGAAGGCUGAGGAGACGCUAGGACCGUUCUUUGCCGACCGUCCGGAGCUGCACAAGGCAUUUGAGAUGUGCGUGGACCACAGCUUGACAGUGGAGGAGUUUGAAAGGAGAUGGAUGGCCAUGAUUGAAACAUAUCAAGUACAAGACAACAAGACUCUUGCUAGCCUGUGGGAGAAGCGAAUGUACUGGGUGCCAGCCUACUUCAUGCAGUGCUUCUUCCCAUUUCUGCAGACUGCGCAACGUAGCGAGGGGUUCAAUGCUGUUUUGAAGCGGUACGUGAGCCCUGGCAACUCAUUGCUACAAUUUGCCAAGCAAUACACAACUUUGCAACAAAAAAUACUUGGAUCUGAGCUACAGUAA